UUCCCGGAGGGCUUGUAGCUCAGUUGGUUAGAGCGCGCGCUUGAUAAGCGUGAGGUCGGAGGUUCAAGUCCUCCCAGGCCCACCAAUUAUCCAUCCAUAGAAAAGCGCUUAGAAAGUUUGACUGUUAACAGGUCAACGUUGUUUUGUAGGACGCCAAUAUUGUCUUGAAAAAGAGCUUUCUUGUAAAGUUUGAGAAAACUUGUUUAUCGCUUUUUGUAAGAUGUGGUGUUUGUCUGCUUUUAAAGCGAUCGAAACUGAAAGUGUUUCAAAGAUAAGAGUCUUGGAACAGAAGAGUCUUGGAAUAGAAAAGAAUAUAAAGUCUAGGUGGUAUUACAUAGUCUAGAGUUAAAUUGUUCAUGAUUGGAACAUUUCAUAUUGAAAUGCUGCGAUAUAAAGGUUUCGUAAUAGAAUUAUUCCGUUUGGGGCCGU
rnacentral:misc_RNA from 1 species